rnacentral:lncRNA from 1 species
AGGCAAGGCCAAGGCUUCUUGAAAGGCUGGUCAUGCCCCAGUGAUCAAUGAAGAACUCAGGGAUAUCCCAAAACUCAGGACUAUAAGGCACAAUGGGGGAGCAGGUACCAGGUGGCCAGCAUCCUAAAUGACUCUCAGCAGCUGCAGAGAACAUUCUCAUAAAAGAGAAUCAGUCAUCCUGAGUGUAAAUAACAAGAGCUGCCUAUAAAUCUACCUCAGAAGACAAAGGGAAAAGCAAAACUCUGCCCAGGAAGACCUUACUUUACAAACCAGGUGACCAAAUUUCUAAAACAUCAUUCCCGUAAUCCCUGAUCAACAGAAAGGAAGCUCUGGAAGCAUGAAUGGUCAGUACACACAUCGUCCACAGGACUCACACACCACAAACUAGUCAUUGAUCCUUUUGACCCAAUUUCAGAAAAUAUGUUUACAUAGAGACACAUAUUUUUGCUAUUUACUUUUUGAGCAACCAACAGGAAAACCUAUCCACAUAUGUCCAUUAUGAUCCUCUCUAAUGAAGACUAUCUCUUUAUGUUGUUUAAACAAAAAGAAAUUAAUGCAUGAGAAUGUCAAAGUUCUGAGCUUUAAGUUUCUGUACUCAAUAUAUUGAAUAAAAGAUAUAUGUAGUA